GAAUCAUGGAAUCAUAGUGACCAGUAACUGUUAUGGACUGGAUUGUAUCCCCCUCCAAUUCAGUUAUGGUGCUGCUUCAGAAAGAAAAGAGAUAGUUUCCCUUGCAAAGUUAUCAAAGUGCUCCCCAGAAGACAUUAGGUAUUUGCUUUCUAGUCUACAUACAAUGAAAAGGAAAAAACGUCAGUUCCUGAAGCUCUCUCAAAACAUCAACAGAUGGAAAGACGUGCCCAUGUCCUCCCCUCCCUCCACUCUGGGGGCUUGGAAAUGCUGCAGCAGGGAGCAGGCCCCAGGCUGGACCUGCCCUGUCCUCACGACGAGUGUGUGCAAAAGUGAACAAUAAAUCAUUUCAAAGAUGCAAGGAAGAAAAACCAAAACAUCAACAGAAUCUUCUUUCCCAUAAUCUUCAUGCACCUCCUGGUCCGGAUGAGUUUAUGUUCCCAUCUCCGAGCACAGGGAUUGAUUGUGAUGGCAUUUAUAGGACUGAGUGCCCCACACUCUGUGAUCCAGCAUGGAGUUAUGAUUUACAUCACCACAGGAAGAGUACAGAGGCUUCAACAGAAAAAAAGCAAAAACAACAGACCUUCAUUCAGCUUAGGAACAUAAUAAAUAGGACGAAGUUGAAUAAACGAAAUGGAGGGGAGUGAAGUAUUCCAGAUGGAAGAGGCAGUACGUGGCCAAGAGGAAACAGACCAUGUGCGCUGGAGAAAAAGGAUGGCCAGACUUGCAGAAACCUGGAAUUGGUGAUUGGCUUUAGAAGUGGAGAGACAAAAAAGGAGGCAUAGAAAGUGCCAACAUUUGGCUACACAGGGAAGAAAGACGUAAAAUAAUAAAAACAUUGGCAUCACCUGUAGACUCAAAUCCUGUGAGUGAAGGACCUGAGCAAUGAAGGAUGGAUUGAACUCGUGAUUAGCCUUCUUCAGCAUAUGUAAAAUGAUGUCUGCUUUUCUUCUCUAUUUGUCAUUUUACCGACUUUUUAUAUAUAGUAGUUUCCCCAUAUCCAUGGAGGAUGUAUCCCAAGACCCCCAGAGGAUGCUUGAAACCACAGAUAAUAACAAACUCUAUGUAUCCUAUGAUUUUUCCUGUACAUCCUUACCUAUCAUAAAAAAUUGAAGUUGAAGUAUAAGGAGAAUUUUUACAUCACCCAGGUUCUAAUUUGGAAGGUUUCUAACAGCCCUCUGUCCUCUUCUGGUGCUCACUGUGAAAGAAUUUGCACCCUGCAACACUAAGUGUUUGUGCUAGAAUCCACUUCUGAUGUUGGCUGCUCUGACACAGCUUCCAUUCGACUUUAGACUGUGUAAUUUACAAAGAGUGAAGUUUUAUUUCUUACAGUUCUGGAGGCUGGGGAGUCCACCCCAGGUGCUGGCAUCUUGUGAGAACCCUCCUGCUGUGUCAUUCCAUGGCAGAAGGCAAAAGUGCAAGAGAAUGCCAGAGAGCAAGAAGGGGAAGAACUCAGUUUUAUAACAAACUCACUCUCAAGAUAACUAACCCAUUCCUGCUAUAGCAACAUUCAUCCAUUCAUGAGGGCAGAGCCCACAUGACCCAAUCACAUCUUACUUGGCUGCAUCUCUCAACACUGUUCCAUUAGGAAUUAAGUAUUUAACACAUGACCUUUGGGAGACGCAUUCAAACCAUAGCAUAUGUCCUCUAUGCAGUUGCCUUGUCUAGAUGUAGGACACUGAGAAUUUACCACCCUUCCAGCAUUGACGUGCUCUCUAGGUGGCUCAAGAAUUCUUGGCUGUGUCUCCACCAGGCUUCAAGACCCUCCAUUAGCCUGGCUUUUGGACCUCUGUGGUUCCAGCCCUUGCUAGACACGGGUUUCUCUAAGAGAUCUGUAUUCUCCACAGUCUGUAUACAGAAAAGAUAGUCUCAAAUCUCCUCUGAUUUAGGGCCCUGAUAAAAAUUACUUGGUCUUCUACUCUACAACCUCACCAUACCCCUUCAGGUUUUGAACCUGGGAGAGACAGAAUAUGGAACACUUUCUUAAAAAUAAAUGCAUACUUGACAUUAAUAAGGGAUUUACAAUCUAUUCACUAUGAAAUCCUCAGGAACAUGUAGGUUUUUCCAAGAAGUAAAAAACAAUUAUUUUCAUUUAAGUCAUAUGUCAAUUAACAAUAUUUUUUACACAAUUAAAAAUCUCAUUUUUGUUAUGAAAUGUGAAACACAUUUCCUUUGUUUUUGAGGCAGGGUCUCACUCUUGUCGCCCAGACUGCAUUGCAGUGGGGUGAUCUCGGCUCAUUGCAACCUCUGUCUCCCGGAUUCAAGCAAUUCUCCUGCCUCAGCCCCCCAAGUAGCUGGGUUUACAGGUAUGUGCAACCAUGCCCAGCUAAUUUUUUUUUGUAUUUUUUUCAGUAGACAUGGUUUUUUUUUUUAAAUUUUAUUAUUAUUAUACUUUAAGUUUUAGGGUACAUGUGCGCAACGUGCAGAUUUGUUACAUAUGUAUAUAUGUGCCAUGUUGGUGUGCUGCACCCAUUAACUCGUCAUUUAGCAUUAGGUAUAUCUCCUAAUGCUAUCCCUCCCCACUCCCACCACCCCACAACAGUCC
rnacentral:lncRNA from 1 species